UUUUUUUUUUUUUUUUGGUCUUUUGUCUUUUGCUUUUUGUCUUUUUAGGGCCGCACCUGCGGCAUAUGGAGGUUCCCAGGCUAAGGGUCAAAUCCGAGCUACAGCUGCCAGCUUCCGCCACGACCACAGCAACCCCAUAUCUGAGCCGUAUCUGUGAUCUACAUCACAGCUCACAGCAAUGCUGGAUCCUUAACCCACUGAUCGAGGCCAGGGAUUGAACCUGCAACCUCAUGGAUCCUAGUCUGAUUCAUGUCCUCUGCACCACAAUGGGAACUCCGCCUGGCUCUCCUCUCGGAGAGUCAGGGAGGCCAUGUCUGUGGUUGGUACAGUCUUUAAGGAAGGACCCUGGGGGCAGGCCACAUGGGCCCACGAGCCCCUGGGCCGGUGUCCCCUGUGUGUCCGCAGCCCUGGCCUGGGCCUCUUGGCAAGGCAGCCUGUGGCAGUUGGCAUCACAUCCUGGGAACCCUGGCUCAACCUUGGGGAUUAAUUGGCGCUUUUAAUUACUGCCCGGUCUGCAGAAACCAAGCGUCUGGGCUAGAGAUGAGGCCUGCUCGGAGCAGCAGCCCGGGAAAGGUAGCCUCAUCCUGGCCUUGCAGGUCUCCCAGGGAGGCAGCGGGCUGCUGGGGGCUCCAGCAUCCCCCGGCAACAGACUCUCGGGGCUCGGGCCAGGCCUUUUGCUGCAACUCCCCUCCCCGAUAGGGCAGCCAGCUGGCGUGGAAAUUCUGGUUUGGGUUGAAACUGCCCCUUGUUGGGCUGCUGUCCCUUGGGAGCCUGCUGCAUCUGUUCCUCGUCCUCCUCAGAGACACUGGGAGAUCGUGCCCGAUUCCUCCCCUCUCUGCCUGCAGGGCCAGGGCAUUUGGGGCACGCACUGGUCUGGUCUGUGCAGAACCCCGUCUUUGUUUCCAGGGGCUGGGCCUCAGGACGCCUCCAGGCACUUCCUCUGCACUUUCUCACCAGCUCCAAGGCCUCGUGAGGCGUGAACCCAUACCACCUGGGGGACAGCUGACUGCUGGGACCCCUCCCUCUUUGGGGAGGAGGCGGUGCUUAACCCAAGGAGAUGGGCCCCAAAGCACAUGGUCUGCCCAGGGAGAUGUGUGCACACAGAUGUGUGGGGACAGCUGUGUCCCCACCCGGCCUCCGCUCACCCCCUCCUGGUGGUGGUCCCCGAGCCUCCGGCUGUGCCCGUCCAUCUCGCUCCAGCCAGGGCACUGGGAGCUGACUGAGAGAAGAGGGUGAUUCUGGAGCCCCAAAUCGUCGUCAGGCGGGGUCCCGGGAUAGAGGGAAGCCCAGAGGGACCAGGCCAGGCACCCAGCAGCCAGGAAAUUGCUCUCCUUGUCCCUGGAAGGGCUCCGUGUGAUAACAGACUCCUGGCUCCCUGGACCCCAGCCCCAUUCUGGGCCCUCAGCCUCCUGGACCCCAGCCAUCCGAGAAGCGACGGGGCCAGGAGGGGCUUUCUCGGCCCACCUGCCGGAGGAGGCCCAAAAGGAUGACGUGGACUCCCUCUUCAGAAACAUCAGCUUUCUGAGCCCAAAUGGGCCACUGAGAGCUGUGCUCGUCCUUCUAAGCUUGACUUUCGGAUUUAAUGAGGCUUCUUGUCCAAAUCGAACCCCAGGCACCAGCCCUGUGUCCAGUGUGACUGGGAUGGGCCCAUGUGGCUGGAAGGCAACGUGUCCCAGAAAAAAAAAAAUCCCCUUUCCGAGUAAGAGGCUCUGGCCAGCUGGGCCUCGGCCACAGUGGAAGCUUCCAGAGACCCCUUUAGUGUCAAAGGCAAAUUAAAACACGGCCUGUGAAAAGGUUCCCCCUUCUCCCAGGUAUUCGUUUUUCUGAACAGGUGAAGGACGGUUUAGUCAAGGCACUUUCCGGCCAGCACGUUGGGAUCGUGAAAGGACUGGGCGGUUCUGGGCCGAGGUGGGAUCUGGCAGGCGGGGGCUCGGACUUGGCCGUGGCAGAGCUUUGCCUCCAGAAGCCCUAGGCUGGGGCAGAGGUGCAGGAAAUCCUGGGUCUUCUCUUUAGUGGGGCGGCCCCUCCGGGUCUGGCACGAGGAGCUGCAGGGACUGCCUUUGGCGAGCGUAGAGCCGUCAUCCUUGGCUGCAAACCCUAACGUCCCCUUCUUUGUGGAACAGGACCACCAGCCCCUGCUCCCCUGCCCCAGGACCUGAGGAUUGAAGGAUGUGGGUCUGCUUUGCCGCUCAGACUGGCGGUCCCCACCCAGUCACCUGGAGUCGUUAGAGAAGGAAUCAGCUCCCUGGCCAGGCUCUACAACCAGCGUGGAACUGCACUGGAAUUGUUGGCUUUCCGCUCUGCUCAGCAGUCGUGGCUCCCCAGCCUGCAGGGCCACCCCGGGCCAUGUCUCCUUCUGGGGUGCGGGCGUAGGCGUGUCCACCACCCAGAGCCGAGGUGCUGGGACAGGAGACGGCCGAGCCAAGCAGAACAGCCGUCCGUGAGUCACAGUUCCAGAAAAACCAGCAAAUGGCCAACACCUGCUUGCCCACCCCUGCCCACACCUGCCAGCCUCACCAGGGGGUUUUGGCUGCUGGACAGUCAGGGUGGGGCCCGCCCAAAGUGACCACCCCUCCAGCAGAAAGUGACAGAUGUUAGCGCCAGCAGGUUCUGCCCCCCAACCCCAGCAACAGAUGUCAAGAUAUGAAAAAUUGGGGUAAAUGAAGGGUGCAUGAUUAGAUGCGGGCCCGAGCUGGGUUCUCAUGGGUGCCAGAGACAGCUGCAAAGGCAUGUCAGGGGCCCUUGCCCUGAUGCGGCGGGGACUGCCAGGCCCGGGUGCCCGGGGACAGCUGGACGAGGUGCUGACACGGGGCUCUUUCCUCCGUGAGGCUGGCCCGCAGCUGCUGGGCUUGCCGCCAGCCCCGGGGGCCAUCUAGGGGUUCCCAGGACGCCAGCGUGUCUUGAGCUGACGGCUCCUCUCAGGAGAGCCCCCUUCUCCUCUCCCCUCCUGUUCUUCGCCCUUUCUGGCUCUGUCCAGGUGGAGCUCAGCUCCGGUCCUCCUGCAGCCACGCCGGGGGGUGGCCAGGCCUCCUCUCAGCACCUCUGGCCUCUCCUGUGUCUUCUUGGCUUGCCCCCAUAUAGUUUUUUGCUUGAAAAUGUAGGUUCAAGAGUUUCUCCCAAGCCCCUGAAGCUGAUGAAGGGCUGCUUUGUAGAGACCCCAGCGGGCCUGUGGCUUUUGCAGGUGCUGAGCUGUGCGGCCCAAGGAAAGCAUUUCAGUGCCCUGCAUACACCAGGCCCCAAGCCCUACAGCGCGGGGUUUGCAGGAAAGGUUUGGUUUUGAGUAGGGCAGCUUCGUGGGGCAUACAAUGUACCCAUAGCUAAACAUUAUUUAAAACUGUCAGAUGCUCCUUAAUACAGAUGAAAAUAUGGUUGGCAUAAAUGACAUGAGCUAUCCUGACAGCUAAAAGCAGUGCCGUCUUAAGUGAUUCUGAAACAAUGACCAGAGCAGAAUUUAAAAAUAUAAUUUUUGGUGAAAU
ensembl:lncRNA